UGUUAAGCGGACACUAGUGAGGGUCCCAAGUGUGUCCGCUUAAUACAGGUUUCACUGUAGUGUUAUAUUUUUAUCUUCUGAACAGGACUCCCCGAACUGGUCACCAGUUACGUUAUUCAACUAAACAAUCCUGAGACACAGUUGUAAAUGUCAAGAACGCCCGGGAUGUUUUUGUCUUUUCAAAAUGUAGCGGACGAAAGCAGCCGCUGUAGAAGCUUCUGAUUAAACAAUAGAGUUACAGCUUGAUGGCAAAAUCCCAUGAAUUCGCCAACCUCAUCUGAAUUCGCUUGAUGUCACACUGAAGCUGUUUAAGGAGGAGAGGAGACGUUUGGCAUAUCUGUAGCAAAUGCACAACAUUAUCUUAAAAUAAAGGUGAUCGAAUAAAAACUUAAAUAAAAAAAAAAUACUCAUCUUCAUAGAAGGUGAAUUAUCAUUUUAGCCGCUACGGUGCCUGGAAUGAUUAUACUUAAUAAAGCUAUCUGUUUAUCUAAAUGAGUGGAAUUCUAGGUUUAUACGUUUCAAAAGGAACUGCAGGAAGCAAACCUUGAAUUUCAGUUAAGAUCCAAUACAGCAAAAACAAUUCACUUUCUAUGGAGAUGGGUAUUUUGUUUUCAUUUGUUUAAUGGUUUGUUUGUUAACUUAUUUUUUUCUUAACCCAUAUUUUUCUAGACACUUUUUGAGCCUUAUAAGCCCUCGACACACAAAAAAGCACUGAACACUUCGUUCUUACAUUUCUGGCGAGAGUGUAUAAUACCAUGCCCUUUUGGCAUUUGGAGUUGAUUUAUUUUUAAAUCAAUGGGAAACUGAAGCGUUGAACACCAUAUCAGGAAGUUCUAGGAGGUGCGAAUAUAUCAUGUGAUUAUUUAUCGGUGGUGAAUAUAGUAGAUAAUACAAAAUUUAAUAUAGUCGUUAUAUGAGUUUUAUCCACCAGGAUUACAUGGAAAGCAGCUUAAAUCAGUGGAAGCAACAGAACUGCAGCGUGACACGGGAAUGCUGUAUUGCUAAUUGGAUUGAAAAAGCAACACCGCGACCAAGCACUGACUCGAUUGAGAGGACCAGAUGGGUGUAAGGUUUCGUCUUUGGAAGUUAAAGAAUACUGCUACUCUGCCAUUUAGAAUGAUUUCAAGGCUGGAGCAAAGGUGCUGGGGAUAUUUGUUCUGAGAUGUUUUUUGAGUUUCACGGGUUAACAGGUGUUUCGGGAUGGCACUAAUGACCUGAGAAUAUUGAAGAUAUUUCUUAUUUCUUCACGUCUAACAAGCAACGGUUUCGAAUAACUUCACUAAACGGCGUCAGACUGGCUUUAAAAUCGGCACAAGAGACAAGUACGUGACACACUUGAGGAGGCAAGAGCUCGCCUGGAAGAGCAACGUGCUACAAGAGAAAAUGAGAUGAUAUUGUUGAGGACGAAGAACGAGGAAGAGAGGAACCUUCUCGAGAAACGACUUGAGGCCGAUAUAGAGGCCCCAAAAAUGCAAAUGACGAACAUGAUGAAAGCAAACAUACAAGCAGCUAGAAAGGAGAACGAAGCUGAUGUAGACCAAAAAAAAACUUUGAAGAAUUGCACUGCAGAAAUUCAAAGUUCUUUAGACAAAUUAAGCAGGGUAAUAGAAUGUCUGACGAAAGGCAUAUAAAGCAUAAUUAUCAUUUGUAAGAACAAUUGAGCUGCCAAUUGAACUUCUCAAGCUGUCACCGAAACAUAGAAUGGAACGCUCUCCUAAAAUAGUUCAAUGCCCACUGGAAUGAGGUGAAAUCAUAACAAUGGAAAUCGUGACAGCGCAAACAUUAAUUAUCAACUGUGCUGAUUAAUAUCGUGGCCCAAAAUACAAUUAUAACUAGUUAUUUAAGAUAUUCUAACAUGAUUAUCAAAAUAAUCACAAAACGUCGACACUUAAAACUAACACAUUGUGAAUAGUUAAUGGGUAAAAGUAAGAAGCACUCAGUUUCAAGAUCAGACGUCAAGUGAUAAUAAAUCUAACAUAGAUGUCUUUCUACGUUGGAUGUUGCUGCGUCCAUUGUAAAAGGAGUUCAGUGCUAAGUCUUUUUUUUCCUGUAUAGGGGAAAUGUCACAUAUUACCUAGGACCAAGUUCAUUUUCCAAUAACUUUUAAAUUACUGAUCAGUCUCUUUUUGCAAAGCGGAUAGUUUAACAACAACAGCAGCAACAACAACAACAACAACAACAACAACAACAACAUCAUCAUCAUCAACAACGACAACAACAACAACAACAACUGCUAAAUGACUUUAAUUUUGCCUGAUGGUCGAUCUGUAUAAUUUGCGCUGUAGGCGUCGAUGAUUUUAGCGCUACAUUAACCGAUUAGCGAGAUUGCUAAGCCACUUGUAACAUUAUCCUGGGCAUAAGUAACCAACGAAUUCUUUUAAGCUUAAGUGUGUCGCGUCCCUUGCAGUUGUGUGAAGGACUAUGGAUGACGCCUGUACUAUGAUAAAUUAAGUACCAAAUCGUAUGCACUACAGCUCAAAUCAUUUACGUGGAUACUGUAACCUUGAACAGCCUCCGAGUUAUGAAAAAUUCAGUGGACCUGAGGUAUAUAUCGAUUUGAUUAAGUGUUUCGCUGUUGUGUGAGAAAAAGUUAUCGAGCUGCAAAGUUUCAACCUCCGUUUCCUAGUGUUCCGCAUGAAUUUUACACACCAAAAAUUUGGCAUCGUUUGUAAAAUUAUAAAUCUCCCCCGCUAUUUGGAGUGCCUACACUACUUCUCACGCUCUUGUUCAGAAGCAACACAAGAAAAUAAUAUUAUUUUAUACCAUUUAGUGAUAAAUGUAUGUUCUUGUAGAUUUUGAACUGUUCA